rnacentral:rRNA from 1 species
GACAGAGGGUGCAAACGUUGCUCGGAAUUACUGGGCGUAAAGGGCGCGUAGGCGGAUUUGGAAGUCGGGUGUGAAAUCCCUGGGCUCAACCUAGGAACUGCAUUCGAAACUCCAAGUCUAGAGUGACGGAGAGGAAAGCGGAAUUCCCGGUGUAGAGGUGAAAUUCGUAGAUAUCGGGAGGAACACCAGAGGCGAAGGCGGCUUUCUGGACGUCCACUGACGCUGAGGCGCGAAAGCGUGGGGAGCAAACAGG